CCAUUUUUUUUUUUGUCUCAUGGAUUAGGUUCUAUCACCCCCACAUCUACACAUGGCCUGAGGCUUCCAGAGAAAUGUGUCUUGCAUGAAAUGAACCUGUCUUCCUGAUGGGGCCACAUGGACAUGAUGCUUGUUUAUGAAUACACUUUGGAUUAUCCGAAGCCCUCCUUCUGGGAUGCCUCCCAUCUCCUUGUUGGGUGAACAUCAAUUCACGCACAUUCUUAGAUGUUUAGUUAGGAGUUACUUCCUCCAGUGAUCCAUCUAUGGUCCUUGGCCUAUGACCUUAGAUACCUUCUUAGUUCAUUUGCCUUCACUAUAGCAAAACACCCAAGACCAGACCUUAUAAAGAAUAGAAAGUUGCAAGAUCAAGAAUGAUAUGCAAGUAUCAUAGGAUGGGGGUGGGAGGUAGCCAGAUUAGCCUAGGAGGUUAAGGUAGAUCAUUUAACCACUCAGCUAUUGAGGUACAGUUUUAAAUAAGCAAGUAAAGUGAGCAAACAAGCAGAAACCCCAAAAGAAUAGACGGUUGUUUGACCUAUGGAUCCAGGAGCUGGAAAGUCCAGACCAUGGUGCUGGCAUCUUGUGAAAGUCUUCUGGUUGACACUGUAACAUGACAGAGGAUAGUGAAUGCUGGCUCUGUUCUCUCCUCUUACUUAGCCAUCAGUGAUGCCACAGAGCCCCAUCCUCAUGACCUCAGCUAAUUCUUCUUCCCUCCCCAGAGACCCAUCUCCAAGUACCAUUAAGAGAGGAAUGUGGGAUGAAUACAUGAACUUCUGAAUUAUACAUCCAAAGCAUAGCAGACAGUUAUUAACUACUUUUCUCAUUGUUGAGACCAAGUACAUGAUGAGAGGUAACUUAAGGAAGGGAAGGUCUAUUUCUGAUCAGUCUGUAGACCCGCUGUCCUUCAUCAUGGGAGAACCUUGGCAGCAGGAGUGUGGGGUAGGGGUUGUGUUGUGUUGGCCACUAGGAAGCAGAAAGGGUCAGAAAGUGCAGAAACCAAGGUCACUUUCUACUUUUAGUCUGGGACGCCAGCCUAGGGGAUGGUACCGCCCACAUUGAGUGGGUCUUUCUUCCUCAUUUAAAUAUGUGUGGAAGAACCCUCACAGACACACCCAGAGGUGCCUCCCUCGUGACUCCAAAUGCAAUUAAGGUGACAACCAAGACUAAACAUUGCCAGAUGCUUGUGUAUAUCCACACUGUUUCUAAUAUUGCUACACAGUUCUGCCUUGGAAUUCUUUCCCCAGCCCAGAAAUUAAGAGUCAGCCCAUGCUUUCUUCUGCUUCAAGUGAUCCAUCUGUGGUUCACGGCCUGUUCUAACUGUGUAUACGGUUAGAGCUGUCCUCAUGCAUUUACCCUUACCCUAACAAAUACCCAAGACCAGAUAUCUUAUAAAGAGGACCCGGUGCAUGGUGAGUACUCAAUCUAUUUGUAUUUUCCUAGAGCAUCAGUCGAACAAACCAGAGACUGGAGCAAGCAGCUGGAGGGGCGGAGUUAGAAAAGCAAACCUGCCCAGCUCAACAGACAGGAAGGGAAUGUUUCAGAGGAAAUUGCUACACGACACUGCACAGCCAUAUUGGAGCUCUUUUCAGCUGGCAGAUGGUGGUAUCAUGGCUGAGUCUUUUCUCUAUCCUGGGAUAUAGUUAGCCAUCCUUGGCUCAGCAGAGCACAAGGCUUCUCCAGGUAUUUGGUCACAGCAAUGAGAAAAGUAACUCAUACACUCCCCAUGGUCUCUCUUGCCUGAUCUACAUGAACAAUAGCCACACGAGGAAUCCAUAUGUGGUGGUUUGUAUAUGCCUGGCCUAGCG
rnacentral:sRNA from 1 species